rnacentral:rRNA from 1 species
GGUUAAGUUAACAAGGGCGCAUGGUGAAUGCCUUGGCACUAGGAGCCGAUGAAGGACGGGACUAACACCGAUAUGCUUCGGGGAGCUGUACGUAAGCUAUGAUCCGGAGAUUUCCGAAUGGGGCAACCCAGCAGUUUUAAUCAACUGUUACCACUAGAUGAAUUCAUAGUCUAGUUGGAGGUAAACGCUGUGAACUGAAACAUCUCAUUAGCAGCAGGAAUAUAAAGAAAUUUCGAUUCCCUAAGUAGCGGCGAGCGAA